rnacentral:tRNA from 1 species
GGAGAGGUGCCGGAGUGGCCGAUCGGGUCGGUCUCGAAAACCGAUGUGGCGCUUGCGCUACCGAGGGUUCGAAUCCCUCCCUCUCCG